rnacentral:SRP_RNA from 1 species
GGCCGGGUCCUGCGCAACGGUCGCCCGUGAACCGAGUCAGGGUCGGAAGGCAGCAGCUCUCAGCGGGUGAGGCCGUGUGCCGCAGCCAACCUGGCCAUC